rnacentral:tRNA from 1 species
GCAGUCGUGGCCGAGUGGUUAAAGCGAUGGACUAGAAAUCCAUUGGGAUCUUCCCGCGUAGGUUCGAAUCCUACCGACUGCG